ensembl:lncRNA
GGGUAAUUGUUUGUUGUUUUUUGUUGGGGGCCUAAUUUUGCAGAUAUUUUCAGUUUGAUUUUGAGGACUGUGAUAACUAGAUUUUUGCACUGGAAAAUGUUAGUGGUGCUUGCCGUGAUUUUGAAUUUGGACUUACAACUCAAUGGCAUUGCUAGUUCAUUCUGGGUGAUGACUAUGGUAUUUUUUUAUGGGGUUUAUGAGUAUAGGGGUUUAAGAGUGGUUAUGAACGAAUGACUGAAACACAUUUGUGUGUGUUUCACAUCGUCUGGAAUCGUGCGCCCGGAAACCGCUUGAGAAACAGUGCCACUUCCGUGACUCGGUAUGCUUUCAACUUGUUUUUUUAGUCUUGAGCAAGACUGUAUGACAUUCACAUUACAUAAUUUGACUGAUUUUUACGUAGAAAGGGCGACAGCGCACCGCAUUAAAAGAAAUGAUUAUUCAUGUUUUCAUAACCGCUGGCCAAAUUCAAAAAUGAAACAAAAAUCAAAUCAUCUUUGAGAGCAAGGUGGUAUUUCGGGGGCCCAACGCAGCUUGCGUAUUUUAUGUAUAGGGAGGGUCAGCUCUGACAGUCACGAUACAAUGUAUAGAGAAAGACAGGACGAUGAAGACGAAUAAGUUUAAACACACUUUAAUAAUUCCAUGACCGGUAAUCUCCAGUGAGGAGAGACGAAGGGUGACUUAGGAGGAGGACACAAGGAGUGGAGAAGGGAUGGUGACAGAGGAUGGCAAAGGGCUGACAGGAAGGCAGGCAUACCAGACAGGUGGAGGCUCUGGUGGAGGAUGGACUCCCGGAAGGACUGACACGCCACUGUGGAGAUGAGGAAGAUAGGAGCCACUGAGGAGCCGCUGUGUCGAAGGGCCAAAGCGGAGUCAAGGACUCAGAGGCUGGAGGUGGAGACAAGGGAUCCUCCAGCCACGAUGCCGAUGGAGACUGGCAGACCCGCGGCGAUCCCACCGCACAGAUGGUGGGCUCAGGGUGAGCAGAGGGGCUGCCAGGAAACAGGCUAUGGCAAUGGGGCAAUGGCGAAGCAGGCUGAGGAGGUGAAGGGUGCCAAUCCAUGAUUCUGUGAAUGGAAAGAUGGGGCAGAAUGCGGAAUGGAGAGUAGACGAAUGAGUUCACUCUUUCACCCCUGGGUCCAUUCCAGCAUUCACUUAGCAUUGAUGUCUGGCGCAAUGGGCAUUUAGUUGUUGCUGAACAACCCAUAUGCUCUACUACUACUGGCAGUAUGAUCACAUGGCAGAAGGCCCCUCCUGCCCACCCCAGCCCCCUCUAGAUGCCCCUUCAACCUGAUGGAUGUCAUCAAUAAUGGACGCCCGUUGCUCACUCCCACCCCGGGACACAGAAAAUCACAAGCCAGCCGAAGUGACAGCCCGAGCCCAGCAGAGGUGUGAUAAUUCACAUCCACAUUUAUACUUUUAAAUUUCAUCAAGUAGUUUACCUCCCCAAACAUGCCACAGGCUGAGGGGGAAAGCUGACAAAGAAAUGUGGCUUUGAUAGGAGCUGGAGAAAUCCGGCCUGACUGUCUUUGCUCAGGGUAAAACCCACCGAAUGAGGUAAAUGCAUCAGCGGCAGGGGCUGUCUCGACAUGGGUGGCAGGGGGAGGACGGAGGUGACGAGAGAGAGAGAGAGAGAGAGAAGUGCUGGGGAAAGGCAGGGUGAGCAUUAAGGGCUGUCACUUGUAUUGGCAGCUCCCCCUUCCCAACACCUCUCAGUGCACAGCAAAGACAGUCAGCUGGACACAGCUUCAGAAUUCAUUUACAGUCUCUAUCGCUGACCCAAGGAAAUGUAGAUCCGUAAAGGAAAAGAAAGUGAGAAAGAGAGGUGAGAAAAUGAUCGGAGUGGAAAAGACUCACUUACCAAAAGUACUAUUACCAAUUUUUUUGGAGAUGGAUACUAUUCGAAUGUUACAACUGGCUCCUUUCACUUGAACAAGAGAUAUUUCAUUUUAAUUGUAAUCCAUGUGAUAAUUUGGGUUAUUUUGACUGUUAAUAGGCAUCAUAAAUAAUGUGUAUACACUACAUGUAUCCAUGACUAUAUCUAUGAAUAGACGGUACCUAUUAUGUAUACACAUAAAAAAUAUUNAUAUAUAUAUAUAUAUAUAUAUAUAUAUACCGUCUAUUCAUAUAUAUAUUAGGGGUUGGAAUCUGCAGUACAUAUAUACAUACAAGGAAUAAAUUCUUGAAAUAUAUUUGAUUUAGUUUACA